GUUUGUUUUGGCAGAGCUUAUACUAAAAUUGGAGUAAUACAAAUUAUUAGCAUGGUCUCUGGAAAAGGAUGGCAUGCACAUCCUGUGAUAGGUUCACAUUUUUA
rnacentral:snRNA from 1 species